GACGAACGCUGGCGGCGUGCCUCAUACAUGCAAGUCGAGCGGAUGCAGGAAUGCAUUAGCGGCGGACGGGUGAGUAACACGUGGGCAACCUGGCCUUAAGAGGGGGAUAACGUUCCGAAAGGGACGCUAAUACCGCGUAAAUCAGCGAAAUCGCAUGAUUUUGUUGGAAAAGGAGAAAUCCGCUUAAGGAUGGGCCCGCGGCCUAUUAGCUAGUUGGUAGGGUAACGGCCUACCAAGGCGACGAUAGGUAGCCGACCUGAGAGGGUGAACGGCCACACUGGAACUGGAACACGGGCCAGACUCCUACGGGAGGCAGCAGUGAGGAAUUUUGCGCAAUGGCCGCAAGGCUGACGCAGCAACGCCGCGUGGGUGAUGAAGGCC
rnacentral:rRNA from 1 species